UCACCUUUAGCUCAGCCUGGUUUAGAGCGAUAUCCUUACAAGAUAUAGGUCGAAGGUCCAAAUCCUUCAAGGUGAA
rnacentral:tRNA from 1 species